UUUGUUUCAUACAGUUCAAAAUGUGUAACAGGUAGAAGUGUUUCAGUCAAAAGUACAUUAGUCCACUGUGUUUUACGUUCCGCCCCGGAACCAAUGUUCCCUGUGUAGUACCACUACGACGGAAUUCAUUGAGGGACUGAAACAAUCCAACGUACGUGAAGGAGCAGAUGCCUUUCGCGGGCUCUGUAAAGUGUUUAAAGCUAUGAUUAUCGACGUCUGAAGCUAAAAGCAGACAGUCAAAGAGACUUUCAAAAGGACUUUCAUGGACUCAAGAACCUCUUUUCAUGACAAGCGGCCAACGAGUUUUCACGGCGUGUGCAUGACGUGACUGAGAAGUGAAGCAUCAGAGAAAGACGUGUCCAAGCAAUAAACGCCCGUAUCAAAGAACCGACCUGUGUCUGUGUUGUUGUGAAGAGAGCUACAGUGAAAACUCGCCUGCUCAACACAGGUAGGAGAGACGACACCGCAGCGGGUAACGGCGCGACGGAGAUCCAGCAACAGAUAAGCAAAGCCCAUGGCGCAUUGUUGCCAUAGCAACCUCAAGCAACGGUGAUUAGACUGUGGUGAAAGCGCAGCGUUCCAUGCUGAAGCCAAGAAGUGCUCUACCACAAUCUUCAAGUGAAAGUGGUGUGAGAAGUGGUUCAACUUGGAAACUGCAACUAAGGACUCAUGUCUAUUAACCUUUUACAGUGUGCUUAGCCUAUGUGUUUGGGGAUAAAUCUAAUGUGCUGGUGUUCGUGGUUGUUACAUGUUAUAAGGUUUAAAGGGGAACUCCAUCCCAUAAGUGAGGUUUAACAGUAAUAUGAAUCCAUAAGUAAGUGAAAGUCCUUUGUAAAGAUUAAAGGAAAUAGGACAUUAA